rnacentral:rRNA from 1 species
ACUCCUACGGGAGGCAGCAGUGAGGAAUAUUGCACAAUGGGCGAAAGCCUGAUGCAGCGACGCCGCGUGGAGGAUGAAGGAUUUCGGUCUGUAAACUCCUGUCAGUAGGGAAGAGAAUGGACGGUACCUACUGAGGAAGCUUCGGCUAACUACGUGCCAGCAGCCGCGGUAAU